AAUUGAGUAUAUUUAGAUCAGUAAAAGCUGGGGUGGGUAUCACAUUGUGCUAGAAUCUUUCCCUUAAUUGAGAAAGAUUGUUCCCUGGCUAGAGUGCAGCUGCACCAACUAAUAUGAUCUGGAUGCUACUAUUUAUGUUGGUUGCAUGAUAUUUUGAUAAUAAACCUGUCAUGAUGUGCCCUGGAGAAUGGUGGUGCAACAAGUGCACAUCAUUUUAAGCAUUUGUUUCAGUCAGCCUUGAUUAGGGCUCACACCUUUACAAUAUAAUGAUUAAUAUCAAAACUUCCUAUGCCCUCCAUGGCUUCAAAUAAUAAAAUAGGAGCAAAACCAAAUUUCUCAUACUGCUGGCAUCCCAUCCAAGUAAAUAGGAAACUACAGCCCUGGUCACAGCUGAAGUAUAUCUAGGGCAGUGCAAGCCUAGCUCUGAAAUCAGCAUGGGCAAGACAUGUUUAGCUCUACAUGGGUUUCUGAUCCUAAAUG